rnacentral:rRNA from 1 species
UUCGCAAUGCCCGAAAGGGUGACGAAGCGACGCCGCGUGGGUGAGGAAGGCCUUCGGGUUGUAAAGCCCUGUCAGGAGUUAAGAAAUGUAGAUUCGCUAAUAUCGGGUCUAUUUGACAAAGGCUCCAAAGGAAGCCACGGCUAACUCUGUGCCAGCAGCCGCGGUAAUACAGAGGUGGCAAGCGUUGUUCGGAAUUAUUGGGCGUAAAGAGCACGUAGGUGGGUUUGUAAGUCAGAUGUGAAAGCCUUCUGUUCAACGGAAGAAUUGCAUCUGAAACUGCGAGUCUUGAGUGUAGGAGGGGAGAAUGGAGCUUCUGGUGGAGCGGUGAAAUGCGUAGAUAUCAGAGGGAACGCCGGCGGCGAAAGCGAUUCUCUGGCCUAUUACUGACACUGAGUGUGCGAAAGCUAGGGGAGCAAACGGGAUUAGAUACCCCGGUAGUCCUAGCCGUAAACGAUGGGCACUAAGUAGAGGGGUUUU